rnacentral:tRNA from 1 species
GAGGAUUUGGCUCAGUGGUAGAGCACUUGCCUAGCAAGCACAAGGCCCUGGGUUCGGUCCCCAGCUCC